rnacentral:rRNA from 1 species
GACGAACGCUGGCGGCGUGCUUAACACAUGCAAGUCGAACGGAAAGGCCCAGCUUGCUGGGUGCUCGAGUGGCGAACGGGUGAGUAACACGUGGGUGAUCUGCCCCUAACUUCGGGAUAAGCUUGGGAAACUGGGUCUAAUACCGGAUAGGACAAUCGUUUAGUGUCGGUUGUGGAAAGUUUUUUCGGUUAGGGAUGAGCCCGCGGCCUAUCAGCUUGUUGGUGGGGUAAUGGCCUACCAAGGCGUCGACGGGUAGUCGGCCUGAGAGGGUGGACGGCCACAUUGGGACUGAGAUACGGCCCAGACUCCUACGGGAGGCAGCAGUGGGGAAUAUUGCACAAUGGGCGCAAGCCUGAUGCAGCGACGCCGCGUGGGGGAUGACGGCCUUCGGGUUGUAAACCUCUUUCGACAGGGACGAAGCUUUGGUGACGGUACCUGUAUAAGAAGCACCGGCUAACUACGUG